rnacentral:rRNA from 1 species
AGCGAACGCUGGCGGCAGGCUUAACACAUGCAAGUCGAACGGGCCCUUCCUGCUCAUCUGCAGACCUCUGAUGAACACCUGGUAACUUACCCGUUAGUUCCGAAUAACGCUGGGAAACUAGCGCUAAUACCGGAUACGCCCUUUUCGGAUAAGGCUUGCUGCCGAAGGAUCGGGCCGCGUCUGUUUAGCUGGUUGGUGGUGUAAUGGCAUACCAAGGCGACGAUCAGUAGCUGGUCUGAGAGGAUGAUCUGUCACACUAGGACUGCGACCCGGACCAGACUCGUACGGGAGGGAGCAGUGGGGAAUAUUGGACACUGGGGCCAAGUCCGAUAAAGCCAUGCGGCGUGAGUCAUGAAGGCCUUAGGGUAGUACAGCUACUUUGUACGGGACGAUAAUGACGGUACUGGAAGAAUAAGCACCGGCUAACUUCGUG